UUGAUAAAAUGUGAGACCACGAUUGGUAGUUGUUUGUUUACAAUAGAAUGGCAAAAAUGUAUUCAAAGAAAUAGUGAGUGAACCCCUUUUUAGGCCUCUCUACUCUCUUCCGGUACGUAUCUCUCACUUCACUCUCUCCAUUAGUGGGAGUAGUAAAUUAUAGUAAAUCUUUAGCUAGUGACCAAACUUAAUGAAUUUACUUUCUCAAGCUAAAUCUUUAGCUAAUGAGUCCAUUGCAGCUAUUUUCUCUCUAUAUGUGGUUGAAAAAUAGUUGGUUAUGUAACUGCUUUGUUGACUUAAACAUAUAAAAAAAAAUCUCGGGGAUUAAGAACAAAUUUUUGAGUCUUUAGACGCCAAGGUUUUACUUAUUAUAACCUUCAUAUCAAUUUUUGUUUGAUAACCGGAUCUCCGGGGUCAGCUUACGCACAUCUCGACUAAUUCUGGGGCCUUGAAGAUAACGAUCGGCCAACCUCCAGUGGCCCCAAGGUUUGGAAUGUUUGGUUUUCGUGGAAUAUAACCUUUCUAUCGCUUUUAUGAUUGUGUAGACGUGCAGUAAAACCAUCCCAAAUCCCAACAUAUGAGGUAAGCUUAUAAAAUUUGUUAAAAAAAAAAAUACAAUUCAGAAUUACAACAUGAAAAGGCCAAGAAAGCUAACUGAAACCUUAUUCUAGGCUAUAUAAAUGGAUGAGAGAUAGAAUAAUUUCACAGUUCAUAAACAUGCGAGCUAUACAAUUAUCACAUAAAUGACAGACAAAGCUAGUAACUGUAAGAAAGCAUAUCAGAAGCUAAUAAGCAAACAUGAGGAUCAACAUCCCUACAGCAUGCAUGUUCAGGUAAAAGAUAUUAGUACAUCGUAAUAUUGCUUUAAUCAAAUAUUACGUUUAAACCAAGUACUUGAGCAAAUUUAAGUAAGUAUUUUCUAGUAUCUCAUCAUUACUUCAUAUUUUCGCUUGCUUGGUCUCUUAUUUUUUGUUUGUUUUUUUAAUAAUUGAGAGGUUCUGUCCUAGUCUGGAGCCGACUCUUUUCUCUGUGGGAGCGAGGUUCCUAGCAGAUUUAAGUUAUCAUUUUCUAGUAUCUUAUCAUUACUUCAUAUUUUCGCUAGCUUGGUCUCUUAUUUUUUGUUUGUUUUUUUAAUACUUGAGAGGUUAUGUCCUAGUCGGGAGCUGGCUCUUUUCCCUGUGGGAACGAGGUUCCUAGCAGAGUCUGACUUCAGGGCGCCAGAGCAAGAUUCUGAGGGGCAUUUGCCAUCCGAUAGGAGGACCUUGAUACUAUAUUGGCAUACUAUAACGCCAAGCCAAGGCAUUAUUGACAAUGGAUAUAGCUAGGUUUACAAGGCACCCAAAAUAAACCUAGGUAGCAUGUAAAUAAAUUGUAACCCAGAAAAAGGGUGAUAAGAGACCACAACUGAUGAACUCUGCUCUCUUACAUCUGAAGUCUUCUUCGUUAUGGGGGAUAAAUUUUCUUCCUAAAGCCUAGUCACAAACAUGCUGGCGAAUAGCUGCUCAGCCGAAAACUUCACCUGAAUAUCAACAAUAAAUGCCGCUAUUAGGCAAUUUCACACACUGUUCACUUUCUAAACACCAAUCAUUCCCUCGUGCCGCGAUUCCUUACCUCAGAUAGGCCACUAGAAUUAAUGUCAAAUUUUUGAGGUUGCACCAAAAAGAAGCAUCAUACGCUGAUUACUCGACACCAGACAGGCCAUCCAAACAUUAACCAUAUGGCCUUACUAUUCAAUAACAGCAUUUACAACCAAUCCACCAAGACAACAUCCUUUAUGCAGGCCACUAGAGUACUGCCACAUCACCACACCAAACCACAAUAGCAUAAAUAACAAAAGGACCGACAACGGCGCUUUUCCAUCCAUAUUACCCCUGCUACACUGUACCGUCAACAACAUGCAACUGCAUGGAAAAUUUCCCAUCAUCCCUGAAUGUG